UAACAUGGGGGUAGAACUAGUAACUAUUGGGUGCACAAAAGAGAGCUAGGCAAACAUAUAAACAUAUAAUAAAAACAGGGGUGCACCAAGUAAUUAAAGCAAAUAAAAAAGUUUGCAGAAAUGGAAAAGGGCUUAAGCCCAAAACACACAAAAAGAAUAUGGAGGUGUUAAGAUGAGAAAUUGGGGUGCGGAUGAGAAUAGGGUUUAAUAUUUUUUCCUUUUAAAAGAACCUGGAUCAGAAGCUUAGCCCCAUGCCUUUUUUCUUGUUUGCGAAAAUGGAGGGGGGAUGCGAAGACGAGAAACAGGGGUGGAAAAGGGGCAAAGUUUUUUAAUUAUUGUUUUUUAAAAAAGGAAAAGGAACUGGGCCAUGGGCCCAAGAGUCCUUCACCAGAAACAUUAGGGGUUUGUCCAGAUCUCCCCCAUUCCUCCAUUUCACUCAAAUGAGACCUAGGGUCUCCUUCUCUGGGCAAGAAAACCCGGAGGCGCUCACCUCCACUGUUAGAUCUCAAUCCGAACGGCCACCGAGAGCCACCGUCCGCGGCGUCACCAGUGCCUUCGCCGGAAGGUCCACCGCCCUUCACGCCGGAGCACCAUCUCGUCCUCUCUUCUUCGCGCGAAACCGGCCCCGACUCCGAUAUCUCAUCGCUCCCGCCGCCGUCGACGAAACCAACGUCCAGAAGCCGUGAGCCAAGGCCGCCCCGGUGACGCUGCUCGUCGCCGGCCGCCAGGUUUUUUCCUUUUCUUCUUCGCGUGUGAGGGAGGAACGCCGGCCACCGCUUGAGCGAAUCCAGCCGCCGCGGGCUACAAGCCGGAACGCCGCCGGUCACCGCGUCAAGGACGAAAGCGUUUUUCCUUCUCUUCUUCUCAUUCUUUUUUAAACGCCACUUGCUGAUUGGUUCCUCUGUUGAUUGGUGUUUGUUCUGCUGGGAUUGGAAACGGUGAGGGUGUGUUGAUUGGUUCCUCUGUUGAUUGGUGUAAGAGCCUACUUUGUGCUGGGUAUUCUGUCUUUGCAGGAAAACGGCAUUGGGGAUUUCAGUAGAAUAAGUCAAUGUUGAAGAUGAUAAUAGGAUUGUGUGUGGGAGACAUUAGUUUGUUUGUGGUGAGGCUUAGGAUGGGUGGAAAACAGUAUGCGAAGCCAUAUCAUCAUCAAAUCAAGUGGCAACAAAUAGGAGCAUAUAUCACGCAACAUGAACAGUAUGCGAAGCCAGAUCAUCAUCAAAUAGAAACGUAUAGAAGCAUAUAUCACCCAGCAGAAACAUAGAAUAACUAUUUACCAUCCAAGAAUGCAGACAUUUAUAGCAACGAAGCUCCAAGAAGAGGAACUUACCUCUCGCGUUUAUGCUUUCUCUAUUUUACAAGUGAAGAAUUGUUGCCAGAUAAUGGUCGAUGUUGGAGGUGAUGAUAACAGAAAACGCGGUAGAGGUUGGGAUGUGGGGAUGGUUUUUUUUUUCUGACGAGGAAGUUGCUGAGAAGUUCUGUUGAGUGAAUGGAGUUGAGAGUAGUGUCUGUGUGUGAGUGAUGGAUGGAUUUUUGAAUCACCGGUUGAUUUUUCUUUUCAGUCUUUUGAACCUUGCGUGAGAACUCAGAGGGCAGCACAGCCUCCUGACACUCCAAUGCCUCAUGCAACCCUAUUGCCAGCAUUUCUUCUUACCGCAACUGGCUAAAGCUGUCUAUUGCUUCUUCUGCAGCAUAGGUCUGAGCCAAAGAUUUUCACGAAAAAAUGAUAGAUGUCUGAUUGGCAAAGAUUUAAGACCAAAAGAAAGAAAAAUGUUGAUAGCAUUGGAAAUAGAAAUGAACGUUAAGUGCUCUGAUCACAUUUUUGUUUUUUUUUUUCA